GGGUUGUGAGGUUAAGCGACUAAGCGUACACGGUGGAUGCCCUGGCAGUCAGAGGCGAUGAAGGACGUGCUAAUCUGCGAAAAGCGCCGGCGAGGUGAUAUGAACCUUUGACCCGGCGAUGUCCGAAUGGGGAAACCCAGUGUGAUUCGUCACACUAUCGUUAACUGAAUACAUAGGUUAACGAGGCGAACCGGGGGAACUGAAACAUCUAAGUACCCCGAGGAAAAGAAAUCAACCGAGAUUCCCCCAGUAGCGGCGAGCGAACGGGGAGCAGCCCAGAGUCUGAAUCAGCUUGUGUGUUAGUGGAAGCGUCUGGAAAGUCGCACGGUACAGGGUGACAGUCCCGUACACGAAAAYRCACAGGUUGUGAACUCGAAGAGUAGGGCGGGACACGUGGUAUCCUGUCUGAAUAUGGGGGGACCAUCCUCCAAGGCUAAAUACUCCUGACUGACCGAUAGUGAACCAGUACCGUGAGGGAAAGGCGAAAAGAACCCCGGCGAGGGGAGUGAAAAAGAACCUGAAACCGUGUACGUACAAGCAGUGGGAGCACCUUCGUGGUGUGACUGCGUACCUUUUGUAUAAUGGGUCAGCGACUUAUAUUCUGUAGCAAGGUUAACCGUAUAGGGGAGCCGAAGGGAAACCGAGUCUUAACUGGGCGUUAAGUUGCAGGGUAUAGACCCGAAACCCGGUGAUCUAGCCAUGGGCAGGUUGAAGGUUGGGUAACACUAACUGGAGGACCGAACCGACUAAUGUUGAAAAAUUAGCGGAUGACUUGUGGCUGGGGGUGAAAGGCCAAUCAAACCGGGAGAUAGCUGGUUCUCCCCGAAAGCUAUUUAGGUAGCGCCUCGUGAAYUCAUCUUCGGGGGUAGAGCACUGUUUCGGCUAGGGGGCCAUCCCGGCUUACCAACCCGAUGCAAACUACGAAUACCGAAGAAUGUUAUCACGGGAGACACACGGCGGGUGCUAACGUCCGUCGUGAAGAGGGAAACAACCCAGACCGCCAGCUAAGGUCCCAAAGUCAUGGUUAAGUGGGAAACGAUGUGGGAAGGCACAGACAGCCAGGAUGUUGGCUUAGAAGCAGCCAUCAUUUAAAGAAAGCGUAAUAGCUCACUGGUCGAGUCGGCCUGCGCGGAAGAUGUAACGGGGCUAAACCAUGCACCGAAGCUGCGGCAGCGACACUAUGUGUUGUUGGGUAGGGGAGCGUUCUGUAAGCCGUUGAAGGUGUGCUGUGAGGCAUGCUGGAGGUAUCAGAAGUGCGAAUGCUGACAUAAGUAACGAUAAAGCGGGUGAAAAGCCCGCUCGCCGGAAGACCAAGGGUUCCUGUCCAACGUUAAUCGGGGCAGGGUGAGUCGACCCCUAAGGCGAGGCCGAAAGGCGUAGUCGAUGGGAAACAGGUUAAUAUUCCUGUACUUGGUGUUACUGCGAAGGGGGGACGGAGAAGGCUAUGUUAGCCGGGCGACGGUUGUCCCGGUUUAAGCAUGUAGGCGGAGGUUCCAGGUAAAUCCGGUACCUUUUAACGCUGAGGUGUGAUGACGAGGCACUACGGUGCUGAAGUAACAAAUGCCCUGCUUCCAGGAAAAGCCUCUAAGCAUCAGGUAACAYSAAAUCGUACCCCAAACCGACACAGGUGGUCAGGUAGAGAAUACCAAGGCGCUUGAGAGAACUCGGGUGAAGGAACUAGGCAAAAUGGUGCCGUAACUUCGGGAGAAGGCACGCUGAUAUGUAGGUGAAGCCCCUGCGGGUGGAGCUGAAAUCAGUCGAAGAUACCAGCUGGCUGCAACUGUUUAUUAAAAACACAGCACUGUGCAAACACGAAAGUGGACGUAUACGGUGUGACGCCUGCCCGGUGCCGGAAGGUUAAUUGAUGGGGUUAGCGGCAACGCGAAGCUCUUGAUCGAAGCCCCGGUAAACGGCGGCCGUAACUAUAACGGUCCUAAGGUAGCGAAAUUCCUUGUCGGGUAAGUUCCGACCUGCACGAAUGGCGUAAUGAUGGCCAGGCUGUCUCCACCCGAGACUCAGUGAAAUUGAACUCGCUGUGAAGAUGCAGUGUACCCGCGGCAAGACGGAAAGACCCCGUGAACCUUUACUAUAGCUUGACACUGAACACUGGUCCUUGAUGUGUAGGAUAGGUGGGAGGCUUUGAAGYGUGGACGCCAGUCUGCRUGGAGCCGUCCUUGAAAUACCACCCUUUAAUGGCUGGUGUUCUAACGUAGACCCGURAUCCGGGUUGCGGACAGUGUCUGGUGGGUAGUUUGACUGGGGCGGUCUCCUCCCAAAGAGUAACGGAGGAGCACGAAGGUUAGCUAAUCCUGGUCGGACAUCAGGAGGUUAGUGCAAUGGCAUAAGCUAGCUUGACUGCGAGAGUGACGGCUCGAGCAGGUGCGAAAGCAGGUCAUAGUGAUCCGGUGGUUCUGAAUGGAAGGGCCAUCGCUCAACGGAUAAAAGGUACUCCGGGGAUAACAGGCUGAUACCGCCCAAGAGUUCAUAUCGACGGCGGUGUUUGGCACCUCGAUGUCGGCUCAUCACAUCCUGGGGCUGAAGUAGGUCCCAAGGGUAUGGCUGUUCGCCAUUUAAAGUGGUACGCGAGCUGGGUUUAGAACGUCGUGAGACAGUUCGGUCCCUAUCUGCCGUGGGCGCUGGAGAAUUGAGGGGGGCUGCUCCUAGUACGAGAGGACCGGAGUGGACGCAUCACUGGUGUUCGGGUUGUCAUGCCAAUGGCACUGCCCGGUAGCUAAAUGCGGAAAAGAUAAGUGCUGAAAGCAUCUAAGCACGAAACUUGCCCCGAGAUGAGUUCUCCCUGAGACUUUAAGUCUCCUGAAGGAACGUUGAAGACGACGACGUUGAUAGGUCGGGUGUGUAAGCGCAGCGAUGCGUUGAGCUAACCGAUACUAAUGAACCGUGAGGCUUAACCUUACAACGCCGAAGGUGUUU
rnacentral:rRNA from 1 species